AUAUCAGAUGCAUAAGUUUAUUUUUUUUAUAUUUUUAUUAUUAUUUUUUUCAAAAAACAGACAUUUUUGAAUAGCCUAAAAAAUUAUGAACACCACCGUGCUCAUGCUUCACCGCCUUAGAGACCAUAAAUCAAGUCUCUAAAUCAUAUGUACUGGGGGUGCUUGAUCCCCUUGUGUUGUGUGUUUAUUGGAAUGAAAUUUUUACUUUGAUUUUAGUUAAACUGUUCUCAAUUUAGUUUUCUACACGGCUUCCCUAAUUUGUUCAUUCUCUUUAGUUUUGUUUGAUUCCUGAAUUCGAAACAUUGAUGGGUCUAAUUAGGGUAUGAAAUAGAGAUAAAUUUCCUUCCAAUCGAUUGUUUGAAGGUUUCUCUUCAAUCGAUGGAAACCAGGUCGUAUGCCACAUACCUUCUCGCCAUCAUGUUAACCAUUGCCACCUCUCACAUCCAUGUCUCCAGUUCAGAUGGGUUCUAAUUCAACAAGGGGAAAAUCCUUAUGCGUUGAGUUGAAGUGCAGAGCUUUCAGCUUACUGAGCUAGUGUUACCAUCGCGUUGGAUCUGUAUCUUCUUAAAAACAACUACUAAACAAAGGGACUAGCACCUAUUGUGGAGUUUGGAGAAGGGUAUGAAAGUUUCUUCUGUGGUUUUACUUUUACAAUGCAAUUUCUUGUUACAUGUUCUUCAAAGUAUGGAGUUCUUGUCAUAACUUAUAUUUUAAUUAGCAUUAUUAUAUGCAAGUUGUACAAUUUGGAUUUGUGCUAAAUGUUAUUGUUAUGUAUUGGAAGGUUUUCUAAGAAGU